rnacentral:ncRNA from 1 species
GCUGUGGAGUGUCAAACAAAAGUCGGUAGCUUCGGCAAAGACGGACACGUUGAAGCAGUAA